GACGAACGCUGGCGGCGUGCUUAACACAUGCAAGUCGAACGGAAAGGCCCUGCUUUUGUGGGGUGCUCGAGUGGCGAACGGGUGAGUAACACGUGAGUAACCUGCCCUUGACUUUGGGAUAACUUCAGGAAACUGGGGCUAAUACCGGAUAGGAGCUCCUGCUGCAUGGUGGGGGUUGGAAAGUUUCGGCGGGUGGGGAUGGACUCGCGGCUUAUCAGCUUGUUGGUGGGGUAGUGGCUUACCAAGGCUUUGACGGGUAGCCGGCCUGAGAGGGUGACCGGCCACAUUGGGACUGAGGGACGGCCCAGACUCCUACGGGGGGCAGCAGUGGCGAAUAUUGCACAAUGGGCGGAAGCCUGAUGCAGCAACGCCGCGUGCGGGAUGACGGCCUUCGGGUUGUAAACCGCUUUCGCCUGUGACGAAGCGUGAGUGACGGUAAUGAGUAAAGAAGCACCGGCUAACUACGUG
rnacentral:rRNA from 1 species